GGACGGGGCCAGGAAACAGGAGAUGAGGUGGCUCUUGUAGGACCUCUCGCUUCGGAAUGAGGUCUGAGUGGUGAGUUUCCUUCUGAUUCAUUCCCCCUGUUGCUGCAUCCGCUGUUGAGGUCACUUAAUGGGCACAGCUGGCGCUUCUGCGCAUGCGGGGGCGGGGCAACUCUGGCUGCGGCAAGUUUAAGGCAGGCGGUUCUGACUAAUGGGAAUUUACCGGCAGCAUUUGUAGGGUCAGGUUAGGGAAGUAAAACUCUUCACAUGCAAAUGAAGCUCUCUCUGUGCUCCCCCGAUUGCAUUCUCCUCUUUCCUCCUCACAGUAAGCGUUAUCCUGAAUCUCAUGUUCAUGGUUCCCAUGCGUGUUUUCAUACUUCUGUAAUAUGAAUACAUGUGGAUUCAUAAAUAGGUUUUACAACAUUGACAACAUGCUUCAAAAUUUUGUGUAAACUUUUAAAGAAACCAUAAAAUACCCCACACACCCUUCUGUUGCGUGCUGUUUUCACUUACCAUCAUUCUGAGGUUUAUCCAUGCUGAUGACGACGAUCGGGAUGACAGUGAUGACAGCAACAAACACUUUCCAUGACAACCCCAUGUGGGCAGAGUAGAACUGCUCCAAAGGGUUUUCAAAGAUGGGACCUUUCAGAAGCAAGUCACCAGGACUUGACUUCAGGAUGCCACGGGGUGGGUUUGUACCACCAACCUCUCGGUUAGUAUUCGAGCACUGUAACCAAUUGCGUCACCUGGGGACUCCCAACACUUGCAUAGUGCUUGUGAUAUGCCAGGCGCUGUUCUAUAAUUCAGUCGUCUUAACUGUUAAAUAGCAGUCAAAUACAUGCGCUGCGGUUGAUGCGUUUUUUCCAGCGUCACUGACAGUGCUGCGGUGAGUUUUCUCGUACCUGUGUCCUUGCGGGCCAGCUGGGGUAUGUGCCUGAGAGUGGAACUGCUGAGUUGCCUGACUCCAGCAAGGAGUCCUAGUGGCAGGGUGCUUAAGCACUUGGCUGCUAACAGAAGGGCUGGCAGUUUGAGCCCACCAGCUGCUCCAGGGGAGAGAGAGGUGGCAGCCUGCUGCCGUAAAGAUGACAGCCUUGGAAACCCUGUGGGCAGUUCCACUCUGUCCUUUGGGGUUGCUAUGAGUCAAAACCAACUCGAUGGCAAUGGGUUGCUUGUGGGAUGGCCCCAGCAUCUUCAGUUGUACUGAUGAGGUCAAAUUUUUUCCCCAAGUGUUUGUCCCACCUCUGCAGCAGUGUUCGAGAGGUUCUGUUGCUGCUCAUUUUCACCAAAACCUGAUUCUCUUAGAUUUUAAAAGUUUUCCGAUCUGAUGGUUGUGGAAGGGAACAUCGUGAUUUUCAUUUGCAUUUCCUGGGUUAUUAGUGAAGUUAUGCAUCCUUUCUUGACCUUUCGUUUCCUUUUCUGUCAAUUAUCUAUUUGUACUCUUUAUUUCCCAUUUUUUAUUUGCGUUUUAUUUUAUGCUGAAUAUACUCCCAAACCCUAAGAUUUUGAUUUUUCGUUUCUUCUGGAGUAUCUUUUUUCUUCUGUGCAGUCUCCCCUUGUAGUUUGGGAACAGUGUGUCCCUUUGCAGUAAGGAUCAUCUCAGCGUGGGGUGGGGAGCUCAUAUAUGGGUUAAUCUGCCCUUUAACUGUGUCAGUGCCGCAGCUCAUCUCGAGGGCUUUGUUCACCUGGGCGUGCAGCUCAGUGACCGGAGAGUCUACAUCUGAACCCGUAAGUUUGACAUUACUCUCUGCACUUUUAAGCAUGUGCACCAAAAAUGCAGCACCCUUUCUGGGCCACCGACCCUGUAUCCAACCCCACGGUUUGGCCUGGGCACACCUACCAACUCCACCAUUGUCGCAUCAGAAUGGUUCUCGUCGCUUCUGCAAAGUGACAUCUUUCAGAGACUUGGUGGCUUUUCAGAUAUGCAUACCCUUGACGGCCUUGGCAGUUUCAUUUCGUGGGUGUUCUUAAAAUAGCCCUGAAAAUAUGAACCUCCUGAUUUGCAUGAUUUUGUGGGGUUUUGGGGGUCGGGUGGGUAGUGAGCCAUUCUGACAGAUCACCUCAGGCCACUUCUCUUUCCCCUUUUUUAACAGAGUCUUUGGCGUUCCUCUUUUUAUAGUAAUUCUUUUUAUGUUUUGGAAAUUACACUGUUUCGUUGGACUGCCAUGACAAAUUACCACAAACAAGGUGGCUUGAAACAACAGGAAUGUAUCGUCUCAUGGUUCUGGAGGCCACAAGUCCAAGAUGAAGGUGUUGGCAGGUCAUGCUCCCUCCAAAGGCUCUAGGGGAGAGUCCUUGCUUGCCUCUUACUAGCUGCUGGUGUCUCCAGGUUUUCUUGGCUGGAGGCAGUAUCAGUCAUCUCUCUGCGUCCAUUGUCAUGUGGCCUUCUUUUUCUCUGUGCCUUGGAUCUCCCUCUGCCUUUCUUUCUCUCUGUUUUUAAACUUAAAUGCAUUUUUAAUCGCUUUAAGUAGAAAUUACGACAUCCAGACGAGCAGAAUCUACAAACCAGAGAGAUGGGCUCUUGUAUGAAGAAGCUUCUGCCAGGUCCUUUCAGGAAGUUUUAAAUCCAUGGAGAACUAGAAAUAACGAUGACAGCGAGCAGCAGAACUUACAUGGAGAAAAACCAGCAGCAAUAUGUGGAAGAGGAUUGGCAUGGCAAUGCUUGUAAGGGUGCCUCGAGGAGGGAAGACAUGGCCGACAAACCAAUGCAGAAGGAAAGAUCUGGGAAGAGAAGAAGAAGGCAUUUGGAAGAAAAAUGAUGUGUAAAGAUGUGAAAGGAAAUAUGGGAUAUUUGACUUCUUAGAGUCAUGGAACCUAGUAAGUAUUGAUUAUUUUAACACACAAUGUAUGACGAUGUGUGCUGGACACAAACUGAUUUUUAUGAUUAAUUUUUACAAGCACUUUUCAUGGAGCCAAUGUAGUUACAGUCAAACUUCUCCCGUCCAGCGUCCUGAGAAAUUGACGCAUCUUCCACCAGUGAAUUUUCUGGAUAACUGAAGGAUCCUCCUUUGAGGACUGACACCCUGUUGCAUUUUAACUCUUUAGAUGGAAGCCUUUCUAAAGCGCAUAGCACACUUUCCUUCAUUCGCAAACAGAGGGUCUUGGGUAGUAUUCCUGUUCUUCUUGAUGAUUCUAGGUCAUUGCCAUCAAGUCCUGGUCAGGACCUUCCCUGGGAAGGGGCUGUGGUGGUCCCAGUCAGCCAUAAAGUCAGAUUCCCAAGGAUUUAAAAAAGUAAAUAAAUAGGUCACAGGUUUCCUUUGUUGCCAUUAAAAAAUCAUAGAACAUCAAAAUGAGAAAGAACCUUAGAAAUAAACCUAGCCUAACAUCUUCCCCCUUCUAUUGACAUGGAAACUGAGCUAAGAGAGGUUAAGUGGCUGCCAGGACCCACAGCAUGUUUGCUAUGGGAUGGGGUGUCUUCAUUCUUUUGGCCUCCUCUGACCGCUGUGAUGAGCUGACCUUGGGCAGCCGGUCCUUACAACACUCUGUGAUGGGUAUUCCUUGUCCUCCUUACAACACUCUGUGAUGGGUAUUCCUUGUCCUCCUUACGACACCCUGUGAUGGGUAUUCCUUGUCCUCCUUACAACACCCUGUGAUGGGUAUUCCUUGUUAACUCCUUACAACACCCUGUGAUGGGUGUUUCUUGUUACUCCUUGCAACACCCUGUGAUGGGUGUUCCUUGUUACUCCUUACAACACCCUGUGAUGGGUAUUCCUUGUCCUUACAACACCCUGUGAUGGGUAUUCCUUGUCCUCCUUACAACACCCUGUGAUGGGUAUUCCUUGUCCUCCUUACAACACUCUGUGAUGGGUAUUCCUUGUCCUCCUUACAACACCCUGUGAUGGGUACUCCUUGUUACCCCUUCAGCCCACUUCCCAUCCUUCUUCUCCUUCCCUGUGCCCUGGAGGCUGAUCCCUGUAAUUGGCGUCAAACUCUUUCCCUCUGGCUCUCACUUCAGUUUGGCCAAUAGAGGGCACUGGCAGGAGAUAGGAGAACAGGAGGAGAGAGAAGUCUGACCGGUUGACUCUCUGCUCCAUCCCUGCCAGAAUUGCUGGAUAAAAUAUAGGACACAGUGUUAAAUUUGAGUUUUUGAUAAACAACAAAUAAUUUUUAGUAUAACCAUGUCUUAUGCAAUGUUUGGGACUUACAGUCGAUUCUGGUUAUUUCUGGUAGUUACAUAAAGACCAAUGACCUAUUAAUUGGAAUACCUUUUUUCAACAACAUAAACAGUAACUAUACAAGUGGAUCUAACCAGAUGGAAUACACAGGAACCAAAUAGACUACAUCUGCAUAAACAGACGAUGGAGAAGCUCAAUAUCAUCAGGCAGAACAAGGCCAGGGGCCAACUGUGGAACAGACCACCAAUUGCUUAUAUGUAAGUUCAAGUUGAAGCUGAAGAAAAUUAAAGCAAGUACAUGAGAGCCAAAGUACAAACUUAAAUGUAUCCCAACUGAAUCUGGAGAUCAUUACAAGAAUAGAUUUGACACACUGAACACUAAUAACUGAAGAUCAGACAAGUUGUGGAAUGACAUCAAGGACAUCAUACAUGAAGAAAGGAAGAGAUCAUUAAAAAGACAAGAAAGAAAGAAAAGACCAAAAUGGAUGUCAGAAGAGACUAAAAAGAAAGAAAAGACCAAAAUGGAUGUCAGAAGAGACUCUAAAACUUGCUGUUGAACACAGAGUAAAGUGAAUGGAAGAAAUGAUGAAGUAAAAGAGCUGAACAGAAGAUUUCAAAGGGCUGCUUGAGAAGACAGAGGAAAGUCUUAUGAUGAAAUGUGCAAAGACCUGGAGUUAGAAAACAAAAAGAAAAGAAUAUGCUUGGCAUUUCUAAAGUUGAAAGAACUGAAGAAGGUGUUCAGGCCUCAAGUUGCACUAUUGAAGGAUUCUAUGUGCAAAAUGUUGAGCAGUGCAGAAUGCAUCAAAAGAAGGUGGAAGGAAUACACAGAGUCAUGGUACCAAAAAGAAUUGGUCAACAUUCAGCCAAUUCAAGGAGUAGCAUAUGAUCAAGAACCUAUGGUACUGAAGGAAGAAGUCCAAGCUGCACAGAAGGCAUUGGCAAAAAACAAGGCUCCAGGAAUUGAUGGAAUACCAUUCGAGAUGUUUCCACAAACGGAUGCAGUGCUGGAGAUGCUCACUCGUCUAUGCCAAGAAAUUUGGAGGACAGCUUCCUGGCCAACUGACUGGAAGAGAUCCAUAUCUAUGCCCAUUCCAAAGAAAGGUGAUCCAAUUGAAUGUGGAAAUGAUUGAACAAUAUCAUCAAUAUCACAUGCAAGUGAAAUUUUGCUGAAGGUAAUUCAGAAAUGGUUGCAGCGGUAUAUCGACAUGGAACUGCCAGAAAGUCAAGCCACAUUCAGAAGAGGAUGUGGAACCAGGGAUAUCAUUGCUGAUGUCAGAUGGAUCCUGGCUGAAAGCAGAGAAUACCAGAAGGAUGUUUACCUGUGUUUUAUUGACUAUGCAAAGGCAUUCAGGUGUGUGGAUCAUAACAAAUUACGGAUAACAUGGCAAGAAUGGGAAUUUGAGAACACUUAAUUGUGCUCAUGAGGAACCUGUAUAUAGAUCAAGAGGCAGUCAUUCAAACAGAACAAGGGGAUACUGACUGGUUUAAAGUCAGGAAAGGUGUGCGUCAGGGUUGUAUUUUUUCAUCAUACUUAUUCAAUCUGUAUGCUGAGCAAAUAAUCCAAGAAGCUGGGGUAUAUGAAGAACGGGGCAUCAGGAUUGGAGGAAGACUCAUUAACAACCUGCUUUAUGCAGAUAACACAACCUUGCUUGCUGAAAGUGAAGAGGACUUGAAGCACUUACUGAUGAAGAUCAAAGACCACAGCCUUCGGUAUGGAUUACACCUCAACAUAAAGAAAACAAAAAUCCUCACAACUGGACCAAUAAGACACAUCAUGAUAAACGGAGAAAAGAUUGACGUUGUCAAGGAUUUCAUUUUACUUGGAUAGAUGCAACAAUGGGCUCAAGCAUAACAAGGAUUGUAAGGAUGGUACAGGACCAGGCAGUGUUUCGUUCUGUUGUACACAGGAUUGCUGAGUUGGAACUGACUAGAUGGCACCUAACAACAGUAACUAUUCUAUAAAGGCACCAAGAAUACUGAAUUUGUGAACACAGACAUUUGCUCCUAGGCAGAAUACAAAGUUAGGUUCCUGCGAGCCUCUAAUCACAAUACUUUUGUCAAUCUAUCAAUACGUGACCUUGUUUUAUGUGUGUUUCUGUUUAAAGACACCUUUUUUGGUUUGUUUUUCGGUUAUUUAAUAUAUAUGGUUGAUUCAUUAGCAUCAACCUCACGGCCAGUGAAGCUCACCUAAUGCAGGUGUUUUCUCUAUAAGCACAUUUCAGCCUUAAUGACCUCCACAUCCCAAGGAGGGUGUCUCUCAGGAGGAAGUGCCAAGUGAUGUUGGUAGGAGGGAGAUCAGACGUCCCCUGUGGAGCUCCGAGUCGCCCUCAGUGUGUGAGGUGUUCUGUGCAUGGGCGUGUCUGUGUCUGAGGAAACCAGGUAGCUCAAGGGCUCCACAGAGCCAUCACAGCCAGAGAGGUGCAGUUUUAAAACAAACUAAAAGAAAAUAACCCAUCAGCAAUGAGUAGUAGGAUCAAAAGAUUAAUCCUUUAUAUGUUGGUUUGAUAAAGAUGAUUUUAAUUAGCAGUCAUAGAUUUCUCAGGAAUUGGACUUUGGUUUUAUUG